rnacentral:rRNA from 1 species
UACGUAGGGGGCAAGCGGUUGCCGAGUACUCACUGGGCGUAAAGGGUGCGUAGGCGGGUCUUUAAGUCAGGGGUGAAAUCCUGGAGCUCAACUCCAGAACUGCCUUUGAUACUGAGGAUCUUGAGUUCGGGAGAGGUGAGUGGAACUGCGAGUGUAGAGGUGAAAUUCGUAGAUAUUCGCAAGAACACCAGUGGCGAAGGCGGCUCACUGGCCCGAUACUGACGCUGAGGCACGAAAGCGUGGGGAGCAAACAGG